UUUUUUAGCANGGGAUAAUGGAAUAGGACUCGAGUCUUGUUUUGUUGGUUUACUUGACAUUGAGAAAUGAUGAAUAGGAACGGUUGGGGGCAUUUGUAUUUGGCCGCUAGAGGUGAAAUUCUUGGAUUGGCCGAAGACAAACUACUGCGAAAGCAUUUGACCCAGGACGUUUUCAUUGAUCAGGGACUAAAGUUGAGGGAUCGAAGACGAUUAGAUACCGUCGUAGUCUUAACCACAAACUAUGCCGACUAGCGAUUGGGUCUUGACCUUUGGUCAGAUUCAGCAGCUUAGCGAAAGUAAAGUCUUUGGGUUCUGGGGGGAGUAUGGGACGCAAGGCUGAAACUUAAAGGAAUUGACGGAAGGGCACCACCAGGAGUGGAGCCUGCGGCUUAAUUUGACUCAACACGGGGAAACUCACCAGGUCCAGACAUAAGAAGGAUUGACAGAUUGAAAGCUCUUUCUAGAUUUUAUGGGUGGUGGUGCAUGGCCGUUCUUAGUUCGUGGAGUGAUUUGUCUGGUUAAUUCCGAUAACGAACGAGACCUUAUUCUGCUAAAUAGCUGGGCCAACUUUUUAGUUGGUAGUAUGGUAACUUCGGUUACCCCAGCUUCUUAGAGAGACUACUGAAUUCAAUUCAGUGGAAGGGGGUAGGCUAAUAACUAGGUCAUGUUGCAUGGCCCCNNUNNA
rnacentral:rRNA from 1 species